AGGAUGAACGCUAGCGGCAGGCUUAAUACAUGCAAGUCGUGGGGCAGCAGGUUUGUAGCAAUACAGAUGCUGGCGACCGGCGAAACGGGUGCGGAACACGUACAGAACCUUCCUUUGAGCGGGGAAUAGCCCAGAGAAAUUUGGAUUAAUACCCCAUAGUAUAAUGAAGUGGCAUCACUUUAUUAUUAAAGAUUUAUCACUCGAAGAUGGCUGUGCGGCUGAUUAGGUAGUUGGCGGGGUAAAGGCCCACCAAGCCUGCGAUCAGUAACUGGUGUGAGAGCACGACCAGUCACACGGGCACUGAGACACGGGCCCGACUCCUACGGGAGGCAGCAGUAAGGAAUAUUGGUCAAUGGAGGCAACUCUGAACCAGCCAUGCCGCGUGGAGGAUGAAGGUCCUCUGGAUUGUAAACUUCUUUUAUAUGGGACGAAAAAAGGCUUUUCUAAGUCGUCUGACGGUACCAUAUGAAUAAGCACCGGCUAACUCCGUG
rnacentral:rRNA from 1 species